CCCGACUGCUAUUUGGGUGAGGAUAAGCCAUGCGAGUUGAAUGGGAAACCUAAAGUUCCCAUGGCAAACUGCUCAGUAACACAUGAUCAACUUAACCUAUAGAGAAAAAUAACCUCGGGAAACUGAGGAUAAUGUUUCAUAGCUGAAUUGGCUUGGAAAAGUUUUUCGGCGAAAGGGGUAAAAAGAAUGGUUUUUAUCUGCUAUAGGAUAGGAUCGUGUUCGAUUAUGGUUGUUGGUGAGGUAAUGGCUCACCAAGCCGAUAAUCGAUAGGGGCCGUGAGAGCGGGAGCCCCGAGAUGGGUACUGAGACGACGACCCAGGCCUUACGAGGCGCAGCAGGCGCGAAACCUCCGCAAUACACGAAAGUGUGACGGGGUUACCCAAAGUGUUCAAUAGAACUGCGGUAGGUGAGUAAUGUUCCCUACUAGAAAGGAGAGGGCAAGGCUGGUGCCAGCCGCCGCGGUAAAACCAGCUCUUCAAGUGGUCGGGAUAAUAUUGGGCUUAAAGUGUCCGUAGCCGGUUUAGUAAGUUCCUGGUAAAAUCGGGUAGCUUAACUAUCUAUAUGCUAGGAAUACUACUAUACUAGAGGGCGGGAGAGGUCUGAGGUACUACAGGGGUAGGGGUGAAAUCUUAUAAUCCUUGUAGGACCACCAGUGGCGAAGGCGUCAGACUGAACGCGCCUGACGGUGAGGGACGAAAGCCAGGGGAGCGAACCGGAUUAGAUACCCGGGUAGUCCUGGCCGUAAACGAUGCAUACUAGGUGAUGGCACGGCCAUGAGCCGUGCCAGUGCCGUAGGGAAACCGUUAAGUGUGCCGCCUGGGAAGUACGGUCGCAAGGCUAAAACUUAAAGGAAUUGGCGGGGGAGCACCACAAGGGGUGAAGCCUGCGGUUCA
rnacentral:rRNA from 1 species